AAAAAUCUAUACCCAUAGAAUCUAAAUAAAAACUUUGUAAGUAUCUCUGGGGUAUACGUCUCUCCUGCUAGUGUCUGAGGAAUGCCAUGCUUCCUCUAUGAGGUUCAAAUCUUUCCUUACUGCUACUUUCUACUGUCACUCAUUCUAUAUAAGGCUCAGAUAAUGUAAUGUACCUUUAAAAAAAUCCCCGUAGGCUUAGAUUUUUCAAAACCUGCUCUAAUAAGGGUUCUCAAAUGCUUUGACCUCGCUUCUAGCCCAUCAUACAAAGGCAGGGAAGAACAAAUUGUAAAUAGGACAAGAGGAUGCAGACUUGUUUAGAAGUAGUUCUUUGGGGAUGAUUCCAAUCUGUUUGUCAGGAUACCAACAGUCCAGUUCAAAAUCAUCACCAAAAAAAGAAUCAGCAAAAAUGAUGGCACAAUCCAGCAGAACCUGCCAGGCCUCCACUGAUUCCGCAGGAGUCAGCAGGAUGACCAGGGCCAGUAGGAAUGCCAGGAGUCCUCUGCCGUGCCUCUCUUGGUGAAGUGAAGAUGAGCGAAGACUUGAGGCCAUCAAAGAGCUGCACAGCUAGCUAUAUACAACGUUACCAGCCAUCUUAUGCUCGCUACAGCAUCGCUGCCAGGAUGGACAAUUCCUAUAAAGGACUAACCAAAGCAAACGUUCCUUCCAUUGAAUUGCUACUAGUCAGCUUAGUAAACAUCAACUCUUAGAGGCAGUGAAAGUUUUCCUUGAAAAGACACUUCAAAUUCAGGUCUCUCAAAUUAAAAAGUGAACACCAAGUUCAAAUUUGACAUCAAAAAAAUUCCGUCUUAGUUAUGGCUUUACUGCUGUGAACAGACCCCAUGACCAAGGCAACUCUUAUAAGGACAACAUUUAAUUGGGGGCUGGCUUACAGAUUUAGAGGUUCAGUCCAGUAUCAUCAAGGCAAGAACAUGGCAGCAUCCAGGCAGGCAUGCUGCAGGAGGAACUGAGAGUUCUACAUCUUCAUCUGAAGGCUGCUAGGAGAAGACUCACUUCCAGGCAGUUAGGGAAGAGCCCACACCCACCGUGACACACCUACUCCAACAAGGCUACACCUCCUAAUAGUGUGAACAA
ensembl:lncRNA